rnacentral:rRNA from 1 species
GAUGAACGCUGGCGGCGUGCCUAACACAUGCAAGUCGAGCGAUUCUCUUCGGAGAAGAGCGGCGGACGGGUGAGUAACGCGUGGGUAACCUGCCCUGUACACACGGAUAACAUACCGAAAGGUAUGCUAAUACGAGAUAAUAUGCUUUUAUCGCAUGGUAGAAGUAUCAAAGCUCCGGCGGUACAGGAUGGACCCGCGUCUGAUUAGCUAGUUGGUAAGGUAACGGCUUACCAAGGCGAAGAUCAGUAGCCGACCUGAGAGGGUGAUCGGCCACAUUGGAACUGAGACACGGUCCAAACUCCUACGGGAGGCAGCAGUGGGGAAUAUUGCACAAUGGGCGAAAGCCUGAUGCAGCAACGCCGCGUGAGCGAUGAAGGCCUUCGGGUCGUAAAGCUCUGUCCUCAAGGAAGAUAAUGACGGUACUUGAGGAGGAAGCCCCGGCUAACUACGUGCCAGCCGCCGCGGUAACAC